rnacentral:rRNA from 1 species
CACGUAGGGCGCAAGGCGUUGUCCGGAAUUAUUGGGCGUAAAGAGCUCGUAGGCGGUCUGUUGCGUCCGCUGUGAAAACUCGGGGCUUAACCCCGAGCCUGCAGUGGAUACGGGCAGACUAGAGGUAGGUAGGGGAGAAUGGAAUUCCCGGUGUAGCGGUGAAAUGCGCAGAUAUCGGGAGGAACACCGGUGCGAAGGCGGUUCUCUGGGCCUUACCUGAC